UUAAGCGACUAAGCGUACACGGUGGAUGCCCUGGCAGUCAGAGGCGAUGAAGGACGUGCUAAUCUGCGAUAAGCGUCGGUAAGGUGAUAUGAACCGUUAUAACCGGCGAUUUCCGAAUGGGGAAACCCAGUGUGUUUCGACACACUAUCAUUAACUGAAUCCAUAGGUUAAUGAGGCGAACCGGGGGAACUGAAACAUCUAAGUACCCCGAGGAAAAGAAAUCAACCGAGAUUCCCCCAGUAGCGGCGAGCGAACGGGGAGCAGCCCAGAGCCUGAAUCAGUGUGUGUGUUAGUGGAAGCGUCUGGAAAGGCGCGCGAUACAGGGUGACAGCCCCGUACACAAAAAUGCACAUGCUGUGAGCUCGAUGAGUAGGGCGGGACACGUGGUAUCCUGUCUGAAUAUGGGGGGACCAUCCUCCAAGGCUAAAUACUCCUGACUGACCGAUAGUGAACCAGUACCGUGAGGGAAAGGCGAAAAGAACCCCGGCGAGGGGAGUGAAAAAGAACCUGAAACCGUGUACGUACAAGCAGUGGGAGCCUCUUUUAUGGGGUGACUGCGUACCUUUUGUAUAAUGGGUCAGCGACUUAUAUUCUGUAGCAAGGUUAACCGAAUAGGGGAGCCGAAGGGAAACCGAGUCUUAACUGGGCGUUAAGUUGCAGGGUAUAGACCCGAAACCCGGUGAUCUAGCCAUGGGCAGGUUGAAGGUUGGGUAACACUAACUGGAGGACCGAACCGACUAAUGUUGAAAAAUUAGCGGAUGACUUGUGGCUGGGGGUGAAAGGCCAAUCAAACCGGGAGAUAGCUGGUUCUCCCCGAAAGCUAUUUAGGUAGCGCCUCGUGAAUUCAUCUCCGGGGGUAGAGCACUGUUUCGGCAAGGGGGUCAUCCCGACUUACCAACCCGAUGCAAACUGCGAAUACCGGAGAAUGUUAUCACGGGAGACACACGGCGGGUGCUAACGUCCGUCGUGAAGAGGGAAACAACCCAGACCGCCAGCUAAGGUCCCAAAGUCAUGGUUAAGUGGGAAACGAUGUGGGAAGGCCCAGACAGCCAGGAUGUUGGCUUAGAAGCAGCCAUCAUUUAAAGAAAGCGUAAUAGCUCACUGGUCGAGUCGGCCUGCGCGGAAGAUGUAACGGGGCUAAACCAUGCACCGAAGCUGCGGCAGCGACGCUGAUGCGUUGUUGGGUAGGGGAGCGUUCUGUAAGCCUGUGAAGGUGUGCUGUGAGGCAUGCUGGAGGUAUCAGAAGUGCGAAUGCUGACAUAAGUAACGAUAAAGCGGGUGAAAAGCCCGCUCGCCGGAAGACCAAGGGUUCCUGUCCAACGUUAAUCGGGGCAGGGUGAGUCGACCCCUAAGGCGAGGCCGAAAGGCGUAGUCGAUGGGAAACAGGUUAAUAUUCCUGUACUUGGUGUUACUGCGAAGGGGGGACGGAGAAGGCUAUGUUGGCCGGGCGACGGUUGUCCCGGUUUAAGCGUGUAGGCUGGUUUUCCAGGCAAAUCCGGAAAAUCAAGGCUGAGGCGUGAUGACGAGGCACUACGGUGCUGAAGCAACAAAUGCCCUGCUUCCAGGAAAAGCCUCUAAGCAUCAGGUAACAUCAAAUCGUACCCCAAACCGACACAGGUGGUCAGGUAGAGAAUACCAAGGCGCUUGAGAGAACUCGGGUGAAGGAACUAGGCAAAAUGGUGCCGUAACUUCGGGAGAAGGCACGCUGAUAUGUAGGUGAAGUCCCUGCGGAUGGAGCUGAAAUCAGUCGAAGAUACCAGCUGGCUGCAACUGUUUAUUAAAAACACAGCACUGUGCAAACACGAAAGUGGACGUAUACGGUGUGACGCCUGCCCGGUGCCGGAAGGUUAAUUGAUGGGGUCAGCGCAAGCGAAGCUCUUGAUCGAAGCCCCGGUAAACGGCGGCCGUAACUAUAACGGUCCUAAGGUAGCGAAAUUCCUUGUCGGGUAAGUUCCGACCUGCACGAAUGGCGUAAUGAUGGCCAGGCUGUCUCCACCCGAGACUCAGUGAAAUUGAACUCGCUGUGAAGAUGCAGUGUACCCGCGGCAAGACGGAAAGACCCCGUGAACCUUUACUAUAGCUUGACACUGAACAUUGAGCCUUGAUGUGUAGGAUAGGUGGGAGGCUUAGAAGUGUGGACGCCAGUCUGCAUGGAGCCGACCUUGAAAUACCACCCUUUAAUGUUUGAUGUUCUAACGUUGACCCGUAAUCCGGGUUGCGGACAGUGUCUGGUGGGUAGUUUGACUGGGGCGGUCUCCUCCUAAAGAGUAACGGAGGAGCACGAAGGUUGGCUAAUCCUGGUCGGACAUCAGGAGGUUAGUGCAAUGGCAUAAGCCAGCUUGACUGCGAGCGUGACGGCGCGAGCAGGUGCGAAAGCAGGUCAUAGUGAUCCGGUGGUUCUGAAUGGAAGGGCCAUCGCUCAACGGAUAAAAGGUACUCCGGGGAUAACAGGCUGAUACCGCCCAAGAGUUCAUAUCGACGGCGGUGUUUGGCACCUCGAUGUCGGCUCAUCACAUCCUGGGGCUGAAGUAGGUCCCAAGGGUAUGGCUGUUCGCCAUUUAAAGUGGUACGCGAGCUGGGUUUAGAACGUCGUGAGACAGUUCGGUCCCUAUCUGCCGUGGGCGCUGGAGAACUGAGGGGGGCUGCUCCUAGUACGAGAGGACCGGAGUGGACGCAUCACUGGUGUUCGGGUUGUCAUGCCAAUGGCACUGCCCGGUAGCUAAAUGCGGAAGAGAUAAGUGCUGAAAGCAUCUAAGCACGAAACUUGCCCCGAGAUGAGUUCUCCCUGACUCCUUGA
rnacentral:rRNA from 1 species